CAAGAUUCCAGAGAGUUAUAUAAGUAAUAUAAGGAACACCAGGAAAAUUCAAUUUUCUUGAGACAAACGGGUUGGUCAAAAUAAUGGUAGCAGUAGUGGGCAGAUAGCAGAGGAUUAAUCUCGGAGGUAUCUGUUGUAUUGUUCUAUUCUCUUCAAGGCUCCUACUUGUGUCUCAUUAUAAUUCUCUGGUCCACUGAUGACAACAAUCAUUAUUACUCUGUCUUUGUCUAUCCAGAGACAAUCAUACCUCUUUCCCCUUGUCUUAUGAACUUCUUACCUUGUCUUACUCAUUUGUCUACUUACUUUCUCUUAUUAACUUCCUUUUCCUUCUGCUUGAGUCCUCUUCAUCUUUCUUCAACUUCCCAAGUCCUCUCAAAGGAGAGAUCAAUCUACUUCUGACUUCAGUGGGAAAAGGACCCAAAGAAGGGUUUGAGAUGGUUGUCAGGUGGGGGCUACAAUAGGGAGGGUGACAACUCAUAAGGAUGAAAACCCUCAGAAGCAGUUAACAAUGCUAGGUCUCAAGAGGAGAUCUAGAGGAAGUCCAUAUAAUAAACUGAGAAACUUACUUCUAGCAAAUAUAGAGUAUAGGAAGAAUUUUACAGAGAACUGGAUAGAUAAUGUGAUGCUUAUAUUUGUUCCAUUACCAAGUAACUUUUAUUUAUACUCUAAUGGGAGCUGGUCUCUCUCCUAAAAGAGAAGGCAAAAAGAUAUGAAGAAUGAUACUUCACUUUCCAAUUUAUCAGAAAGAAUGAAAUUUUCCUUUAAAAUGGAAGAUCUAUAUAACAUGAAAAAGAAAGAAGAAAAAAAGGCAGGGAGAAAUUCUGACUCUCAUCGUGUUGGAGAGUGGAAAAAUGUGAUACUGAGUAGACUGAGAAAUAAUAUCAAUCACUUGAGGCUAAAUAAUAGAUUUGAAGCUCUUUCUGAAGAGUUUUUCUGAGGAAGCAGCAACUUGCUCUCCAAGAAAUGAUAAUGUGACUUCACAGGUGCUGUUAGAGCAUUUUCAUUAAGAAAAGGUCAAGAGUAAGAGGAUGAAUAGUGAUGGUCGACAUUUCUUGACCUGAUAACAAGACUUGUUUACUGUCUUUCCAGGACAUGUGUGUAGGAAGUGACAUAGAACCUCUGAAGAACUGUAAAACUGGGUCUCUACCUGUUUUUGGAAAACUCAUGACAGUGCCAGAUGAGCAGAACUGAAAUAGAACAACCAAGUAGAAGAUAAAGGAAGAAAUCCUUGAAAUGGAAUAGAAAGAUCUCUUCCAGGAGGCUUUGCAGUGUUCUGGAGCUUUAUGCAAUCAAUACAAUGUUGUCCACAAACUGGAGCAUGUGGAGGACCUUUCCAUCCAUAUGGAAUCCUUCCUCAACCUAGAUUCUAUUCUGGAUCUCCUCUAUGCAAGUGAUGAAUAUUUUUGGUGAGCAAAAAUUUCCCUGUUUCAUUCCUCAACUUAUGUUUAUUAUAUGACAAUAGUUGAACAAAGUUAUCUGUUGUUCCAAGAAAUCUUGGUCUUGAUAUAUGGAUGGAACAUCCCUUGUUGUAAAAGAACCUAUAAAGGGAGCAUAUUUUUCCUACUAAGUUGAAUGCUGUUUUUGUAGUCAAUAAAUAAUAAGCACCAUGGGAUCUUAUAUUUUAUGCAUCUUUUAAUCAAUUUUAGAUGGUGAAGAUGUGGUCCAUUGCUGAAUAUCAUUUGUAAAUCCUGGUUGUUCUGUCCUCGUUGAAUUUAUGUAUAGAUGACCCUUAUAAAGAUUUUGUUUAGCUGGGAGGGUAAGCAUGUAAGUUGGUAGUUGAUGUUUUCUCAAAUAAAUACAUAUAUAUCUCUAUAUGUAUCACAUUCUAAGAUUGUUUUUCACACUUUUAGUAUCUUUUUCUCCUUUUGAAAAAGUCCUCUUCUACCUACAAAAUUGUACUGCUUUUGAUAGAGAUACCCUCUCUAUGUACUUAAGGCAGUCUGGGUGCUCUUCCCAUCUUUGUUCUUUUCGCUAUUUCUGUUUCUUCUGUAAACCCCUCAGGGACUAGGAUGUUAGGAUACCAGUGUGGUGGUCCUGCUACCCUUGAUGGAGAAGACAGUUUGUCUUCCUCUCUAGGUUUUUAUCCUUGAAAGUGCUUGGAUUGACUUUGAUUGGUUAGGUAUCUUGCUCACUUUCUUUAAAUUGGGUUUGUCUCCCUCCCACCCCUAGCCUCCACUACUUCUCUCAAUUUUUUUGAGACAAUACUGCUCAUAAAUCAUCCAUUAGUCUUCUUUGUAAGAUUUAAUAGACAAACGUACAUUCUAACCUGGUGUUGCCUUUGUCAACCAUCUCUCUAUUUGGCAAGCAGGUAAAAUAUUUCCCAACUAAGGGGCUUUCUGUUCUUCUUUUGGUCUUCUUGUUAUAGCAAUUAAUUUUGGUUGGUAACUUUAGAAUAAAAUUAUUAUGGUUGGUAUUGGUGUAAAUUUUGUUUUCCAUUUCU